rnacentral:rRNA from 1 species
UUAAAUUGAAGAGUUUGAUCAUGGCUCAGAUUGAACGCUGGCGGCAGGCCUAACACAUGCAAGUCGAACGGUAACAGAAAGCAGCUUGCUGCUUUGCUGACGAGUGGCGGACGGGUGAGUAAUGUCUGGGAAACUGCCUGAUGGAGGGGGAUAACUACUGGAA